GUCAACGAUAUAUUAGUUAUUUAAUAAAAAUAUUUUAUAUAUUUUAAUGUAUUUUAAAAACAAAAUUUGAAAAAUUGAAUGGGAAUGCGUUAAUAUGACAGGUCAUAGUUUCAGUACCCCUAAGUACAAGAUGCUGGACAGAUCGGGGGAGUAUCUUCCUCCUGGGCUUAACAGUAGGGCGGAUUAUUUAGACCAACACUUUAUCCAAACAGAAACGAGGACGUCAUCAAUCACGUAUGGGAUCGGGAUUUACAAAUCGCGUCGUCUGUUGUUGUUGGUUGUGUCGACUUUUUUUUUUUCUUUCUUGCUUCUGAUGUUUCGGCCCUGUGUUCAGCAAUCGAAGAAUAAUAGUACGGUGACGUGAGCGCCACGUGACUGGCACUGCAGUGCUGCAGAGGCCACCGGCUAUACCCGCCAUCCCGGGCCCAGCCAAUCCGACAUCGUCUCGAAGCGCGGGGCAAAGACGACUCGUUCCUUUUCCUCUUCCGCUUUGUUUCAAUAUGAGGAACGAACGUUCUGUUAGUCUAGGAAAUUAUUCCCCGGGAAGUUGUUAAUUACGCUACACCAGACUUUGGUAGUAAAGUGGGCCCUAGCACCGCCGUCGGGCACUCGGCGGCACCACCUGCCCGUUCGGGAAGAGGCGCCAAUCGGCUAUUGGUCGGCUGGGCCUGGCACGUGACCGCCCGACGUCGAUCGGGCGGCGGCCCAGUCGCGGUCCAGUACCGGGCCGUUCGAUUGUCGUUGGGUGUCAGGCAAUGACGGAAUCUCCUCUUUAAGUCGGCCGUGGGUCCGACGUUACCCCACCGUCACUCCCGCCUCCGAUCGGAUCUCCGAUGUGUGUGUUUGUGUGUUUCCAUGUUUAAAGAGGCGUUCCAUCAUUUCCCUCCCGUUACGUCAUGUUCGCUGUGACGGAAUAUGCUUUGCAAGAUCACUUCUCCAGGUAAGCGUGCCGGCGGCGGCCGCUCCGGCCCGGAGGGAUUACUUCCGGCCAAACUUUCUUAGGGCCGGAGCGGGUGCGACCACUUGGGUCAAUGGGAGAAUAAGAAAAAAGGGCCCCUCUCUCUCCCGUUCAUUUUUAAAAGUUUUCUUCUGACCCUAUUCUGUUUUCUUUGAUCCUGAAAAAUAACAAACUUUACUCCCGUUUUCUUUGGUCCCGAUCCUUUUCUUAUUUUUAAAACGGGACUUUCCGUAUUAUACACCUUCCUCUUCCCCGAACCAGACCAAAUUUCAUUUGAUGAGAGAGAAAAAAAAUGAAAGUACUACUCGUAGAUAAUCCGUAAGUAGGUUUGCCAUCUUUAAGAAAAAAAUAACGCGAAUAAUAACGUUUGGCAGGGCUUUUGGAUCCUGGCCAAAUAGCCAUUGUUUAUCAUCCUCUUUCUCCCCAGCUUCUCUUUCACUUCCCACCUGUUCUCCUAUCUAGCUUUUAGCCAGCCCUUUGUUCCCAUUUGCAUAGAUUUCGAUUCUCGUCGGUCCUGAUUGAUAAAUAUAUCUUUUCUGUUUUAUCAGACUUCUCCAUCUUUUGCUCUAAUCUUCACUCAAUGAACAGAUAACAGAAAACAAACUCACUGUUGCUUCAUCUCCGUAUUCCUUUUGGCAGAAGAAAAAUUGAAUUCUCUACCUGUCCUUUAAAAAAUGUCGUUUUCUUAGGAAACGAACAGCUAUUGAAAAUGGAAAAUGGCAUGGCUGGUGUUUAUAUUAGUCAUUAGAUAGAUUUUUCUCUUUUCCUUUCUUUUUUUUCAGAACCGGUUCGAUUGCUUCUAGAAAGUAACUUUUCAAUAGAGAACUAUUCGAUUACUUUUAGAACCGGAGGAGAUUUCUCAGAAAGAAAUAAGGAUAAAAUUUAUCUUCCUUAUCUACAAACGUUUCUUCACAGGGACAGUUGAAAAGUGUCAAAAGAUGCUGGAAAGAGAUGCCGAAUUGACUGACUUGGGACGCGAUUCACUGGAAAUCUUUCAAGAAAAUACAGUACAUGUAGUCUAAUAGAGCGAUAUGCCGAAUAACCCGUGAUGCAAUUUUGAAUUUCAAUCCUAAGAGAGGACGCGAGACCAUUACACCCACCAUCUAAAAAUUUUUUUUUUCAUUUUCUACGUCGUUCAUCAGAAUAGAUGCAAAAUCCCAU
rnacentral:lncRNA from 1 species